rnacentral:sRNA from 1 species
UUAUAAUCCUGUACCGUAGGCCGCACGGGACACGGGGCAGUUUGACAGGGGUAAGGGCGGUUACACCGUUACACGUGACAGUCAGCAGGUGCUUUCCUAUCACUGAGCAACCUGAGAAGCAAGGAACGGCCCACCCGCCUCCUCACAGAGGGGAGAAUGAGACUGAUUGGAGAGCAAUACUGUGCAGCUGCAUUUGGUAAACUCCAGCCCUGCCUCAAGCAUCGAAGAUUCCCAGAAACUCAAUUCUCACCCAAGUUGGAAACGUAAGGAAGAAGAAAGGAGAGCCAUCUGUUUCUGCAUUGGAUACAAAAGAGUCUUCAGCAAAGAAAGCAACCAGGAGGAAGGGGCUUUCCAGGCUUGUCUGGCCACUCAGUUACUUGAAAGGAAGACCUUCAGAAAACUCCAGCUUCCCCCCAUGACUCAGAAAUGCUUGGCUAAUUAUCGUUUGGGGGCAUGAUGUCUGAGGAGGAAAGGCCCCUGGCUGCCUGAAGUCUGCCCAAGGCCAGGCCCCAUUGCUGGAAGCAGGGCUGUCAGUCAGCUGAUGACAUUCUGAGUUCCACCAACAGUGUCAGGGCCCAGGAGAGAAGCUUCCUGCUGGGACUGGGCAGCAGGGCUCAAAACCCACACCCCGGAGGCUGUCAGUCUGCAGCUGGGAUGGACAGCCCCUCUUAGCUUCUCUCCCAGCUUUCGUCGUCAUAAGACCUGUCCAGCCAGGUGGCCAGGCUCUGAAAGGGUGGCUGUCACUCCACUAACGCCCUGGGCUUUGCCUCAGGGAAGAGAGCCUGCUCAUCAAUUACAGAAUAAAUGACACCUCCUCCACUCACUGCCUCUCACCCAGUUCCCCACCGUAUAGACCUCCUUACCUUGGUGAAUAGAAGCAUGAAGAAGGAGGCUUUUAUCAGGUACCAACACCUUUCUACACCCAGGAAUGUGGUCUACACAUUCCCAGAAUCUUGAGGGAAAGGUCCAGGCAGAAUCUAGACACUGACCAGGCCUGAGACCAAGUGCUCGGAGACCCAUUCUGGAUCCCCACGCAGGUUAGAGCUACCUAGGGAAAGCGCGCCCCAUCAGAGCAAACCAUAAAGCUCUGACUUUGUUCUUUGCUCACACUGCACCCAUUUAGUAAAGUCUAUUCCGGGUUUGGGGAUGAAGACAUGGCUCCUCCAGGACCCACCUCUGUUCUGAGCGCUCACUCAGGCGCUCACAACCACUUGCAACUCCAGUUUCAGGAGGACCUAAGGCCUCUGAGGGCACC